AUGAAAAGGUACAGCAUCUGCCCUAGUGAUGCAAGAGAAGAAGAAAAAGAAGAGGUGGGGAGAGAGUCUCAGACAGCAGCACUGCUUGGGAAGGUAGGUCUCUGGAGAAAGGAGAAUGAAGAGGAAAGAAUGAUUUCCGGUUUAUCUGCUGAUAAAAUGUUGAAGGUUGAGUUGAGGCAAGAGUUGUCAUUUUACUCAUAUAUAUGUGAUUUUGGCUUGUUUCAGAUCCCACCACCGCUAGCAGAAGCCAUGUGGCUCUUACCAUAUUGCUAUGAUUUCAAUGUUUAGAGAUUAAAAACAGAAUAUCCACAAUAAUGUAUACGUCCUAGGAACUCUGCCCGUGGUUGGAAUAAUCACCCCACAUAUUCCAUCUGUGGCAGAGUCUUUUGCUUUCUACCUUCAUUAUAUUUCUAAUAUGUAUCCUCUUCUCACCAUUCAUAUACCUACCACAAUGGUUCAGACCAUUAUCAUUUCAACCUUCAACUAUGAUCUUAUUACUUCAAGUCUCUCUUCGCUCCAAUCCAUUCUCCACUCUGCUAAUACUAAUCUCUGGUCUACUGUGGGGUUCUCUCACUUAAUAAACUCCAGUGGAUUCCUGCUACGCUCA
rnacentral:lncRNA from 1 species